UGCAUUCACUACUGUAAGUUGCUCUGGAUAAGAGCGUCUGCUAAAUUACGUAAA
rfam:Salmo salar isolate Sally breed double haploid chromosome ssa15, whole genome shotgun sequence.